rnacentral:piRNA from 1 species
UGCUCAUCCAGCAGUGACGAUUUUGCAUGGU